rnacentral:misc_RNA from 1 species
GAUGAAGAACGCAGCGAAAUGCGAUAAGUAAUGUGAAUUGCAGAAUUCAGUGAAUCAUCGAAUCUUUGAACGCACAUUGCGCCCGCCAGUAUUCUGGCGGGCAUGCCUGUUCGAGCGUCAUUUCAACCAUCAAGCCCCCGGCUUGUGUUGGGGACCUGCGGCUGCCGCAGGCCCUGAAAACCAGUGGCGGGCUCGCUAGUCACUCCGAGCGUAGUAGUUACAUCUCGCUCAGGGCGUGCUGCGGGUUCCGGCCGUUAAAAGCCUUAUUGACCCAAGGUUGACCUCGGAUCAGGUAGGAAGACCCGCUGAACUUAUGCAUAUCAAUAAGCGGAGGGA